rnacentral:rRNA from 1 species
UGGGGAAUUUUGGACAAUGGGCGAAAGCCUGAUCCAGCAAUGCCGCGUGUGUGAAGAAGGCCUUCGGGUUGUAAAGCACUUUUGUCCGGAAAGAAAUCCUUGGCUCUAAUACAGUCGGGGGAUGACGGUACCGGAAGAAUAAGCACCGGCUAACUACGUGCCAGCAGCCGCGGUAAUACGUAGGGUGCAAGCGUUAAUCGGAAUUACUGGGCGUAAAGCGUGCGCAGGCGGUUUGCUAAGACCGAUGUGAAAUCCCCGGGCUCAACCUGGGAACUGCAUUGGUGACUGGCAGGCUAGAGUACGGCAGAGGGAGGUAGAAUUCCACGUGUAGCAGUGAAAUGCGUAGAGAUGUGGAGGAAUACCGAUGGCGAAGGCAGCCCCCUGGGCCAAUACUGACGCUCAUGCACGAAAGCGUGGGGAGCAAACAGGAUUAGAUACCCUGGUAGUCCACGCCCUAAACGAUGUCAACUAGUUGUUGGGGAUUCAUUUCCUUAGUAACGUAGCUAACGCGUGAAGUUGACCGCCUGGGGAGUACGGUCGCAAGAUUAAAACUCAAAUGAAUUGACGGGGUCAUAGCUG